rnacentral:snoRNA from 1 species
GCCUGUGAUGAAACUUGUGAAUAGGAAGUGCCGUCCGAUUCGAUAACUGACGAUGUGUCUGUCACUGCUCUGAGC